CUUUACUAUAGCUUGGAAUUGUGUUCGGGCUUGCUGUGCGCAGUAUAGGUGGGAGGCGUUGAAGGUAUCCUUGUGGGGACACUCGAGCCAACAGUGAGAUACCACUCUCAGAAAGCUAGAAUUCUAACUCGAAAGAGGAAAGUUUCAGGUGGGUAGUUUGACUGGGGCGGUCGCCUCCAAAAAAGUAACGGAGGCGUACAAAGGUUACCUCAGACUGGUUGGAAAUCAGUCGUAGAGUGCAAAAGCAGAAGGUAGCUUGACUGCGAGACGGACAAGUCGAGCAGGGUGGAAACACGGUUUUAGUGAUCCGACGGUGCCGAGUGGAAGGGCCGUCGCUCAACGGAUAAAAGUUA
rnacentral:rRNA from 1 species